AAGUCGUAACAAGGUUUCCGUAGGUGAACCUGCGGAAGGAUCAUUAUUGAAUUAUUUUUAUGCAACUCUUUUGGAGUUGCUAAAAACCCCCCCAACUUUGUGUGCAUUUGCAAUUCCUUUGGCCUCGUCAUUUUUUGUGCUCUUUUGAGCCCCAACACUUGUCGCCGUAUUCCGCGUUGUUUUCACCUUUUACAGGGUGCAGAAUGUCGUGGAAGCAGCGGCCGGUGAGUGAGGGCGAGAAAGAGAAGGAGAAAAAGGGGGUCAUUGAAUUACACCGCUUCUACUUGUCUGAAUGAAAUAAUGCGUUCUUUCCUUGUGAAAGACGACACUAGUAAAUAAUAAACGAGAAAAAACUUUUAACAACGGAUCUCUUGGCUCUCC
rnacentral:misc_RNA from 1 species